rnacentral:rRNA from 1 species
AUUGAACGCUGGCGGCAGGCCUAACACAUGCAAGUCGAGCGGAUGAAGGGAGCUUGCUCCUGGAUUCAGCGGCGGACGGGUGAGUAAUGCCUAGGAAUCUGCCUGGUAGUGGGGGAUAACGUCCGGAAACGGGCGCUAAUACCGCAUACGUCCUGAGGGAGCAAGUGGGGGAUCUUCGGACCUCACGCUAUCAGAUGAGCCUAGGUCGGAUUAGCUAGUUGGUGGGGUAAUGGCCUACCAAGGCGACGAUCCGUAACUGGUCUGAGAGGAUGAACAGUCACACGGGAUGUGAGGCAGGGCAGAGACUCCGACGGUAAGAAACAGUGGAGAAUAUUAGACGAUGCGGGAGUGCCUGAUACAGGCAUGUCGGGGGUGUGAAGAAGGAGUUAUGAUGGGUGAGCGAUGAAGGUUGGAGGGUUGGAAAGUAAGUUUACACCUUACGGUAAUGACGUUACCGGCAGAAUAAGCACCGGCUAACUUCGUG